UAAUAUUCCGCAGGUUCGUGUGAAGACAAAACAGGAAGACAGUAUGGUGUUGGGGAAACUUGGUACGCAGACUCAUGUUUACUAUGCAAAUGUGUUGCUGACAAGACAGGACGAAAAGACGUUGAAUGUGACAGAUUGGCAUGUGACGAGACCAAUGAAUGUGAACCCGAUAAACUGAUCAAAACUCCGGAUCAGUGCUGCCCAGUCUGUACUCAAACCCGUGAACCACAUGACGGCUGUUCUGAGGAUGUUCCCGCAGUAACUUGUAUUUCGGACCCUUGUCUCACAGCAAAAUGUGAAAACAAUCCCGAUGCUCAAUGUGUAGUUGAUAAAUGCGGGGAAUGUACGGCGAGGUUCUACGAUGUGACGGGAGCCAUGAUAUUAGACUGCCAUAACGGUAGGUUAUAUUUUAUUAAAUAUUUUAAAAUUCUUGAUCUAACAGCAGCAGGUUUUUUGACUGAUGAACGUUAUUUGUAAUUGUAGUAGAUAUAGGAUGAUUUUCGUUUCUAUCACAUAACUGUUACUUUACAGUAAGAAAUACGUUAUUGUUAACAUAAUAAUAAUAAUAAUUAGUGGAGGCCACUGGUUAGUUAAUAAAUAGCGAUGCUAGAACUUGGUGGGCGACAAAUACUG